GAAAAUGAUGGACCGAAAACGAUGGUAUUUCGGCGUGUACUACCAGUUCGCCGAGGAUCGGCACGAUGUUUGGAUUGUCGACGUCGACAACGCCUGCGUCACGGCAGACACCAAGGAUGAGGCGAUGGCGGAUAUCACAUCGCAACUGUCGGCUUGCCUGAAGGAUUACACUGACACCGGCAAGGCUCUUCCCCCCGCCUCGUCCCAGGCGGAGGCGAUGGUCAAGGCCGCGGACAUGCUGCGGGACGCCCAGCUGGAGAUGCCGGAACUGUACCCGCAGCCCAUCGCGCAGCACAUGACGGUCGUCACGUGCGAGCUGACGGACGGCUGACCCUAGUGUGGGCAGGGGCCUUGGCUAUCACUGGCGGGCUGCGGGUAACGGCUCAGGACUUACGAGGAUAGGUCGGGGGCAACAGGAACAGCGGUGUGGGGUAGGGGAGAGAUAGGGAGAUGGGAGAGCCUGGGGCUCGGGGAACCGGAAUAGGUGAGAGAUCGUAAGGGGAGGGGGAAGGGGGCUUCGAACGGGUAAUUGGUCGUGCCGGGAGGCACCCUGUGGGGGAUGGGAAAUUCUAGCCUAGACUUGCGCGAGCGGGCGACUUCGCGCCGUGCACAAGGGGCCGCGAUACAAGGGAUCGUUCUAUGUCACAAUACUAGAGACUGGUACUUAAGGAGUCUUGUUGAGAUUGACUCCUAUGAUUGCUCGGGUAGUUGGUGUGAGGAGUUGGGAGGAGUGACCGCGCCGUAGUGGCGGAGUUGUUGUGUGUGGUUACAAGGUGGUGAGCACGACGUGCAUUCCUGUCCUUGUAGAAACCGAGGCCCGGGCCGGGGGGCCCUUAUAACGCCUGCAACACUUAUAUAUGCAGCUAGUUUGGUCCCCGAAUGGGGGUGCUUAUGCUCCUGUGCUCCCAAAUGGAAUCUAGUAACGCGGCUAACCUGGCUGGGUCCGUAUGGAGUGACUGAAACAGCACAGCUCGCUCGCUUAUAUCUUGCCCUCGGCCCCUGCAUUGGCCGGAUGGGACCCGUACAGGUCGUAGGGGCCUAGGUCCCAAACCGCAAGUGCUACGCAACUGCGCCGAGAGGCCUACAUGCUACUAACUUCACUCGACCCCACCCAUCUGUCAGAAACUGUCCCCUCCCGGACUGUCACAUACCAGUAUACCACCGAACGCACACAGCUGCCCCCAUUCACAUUCAUGCUGCUGGUGACUCAAUGCUGACCUGGCGGCACCCCGCACAAUUGGUGCACGCAGACGGUAUGCCCACAGCGGACAGAUGGGACAUGCACCCAGUGGACCUUGCCCCACAGGUCCUGCCAAGCAGUAGUGCAGCACCCGUCGGCAACAACCUUAAUGGUCAGACAACGCCGCCCAUACACACUGCCCAUACAUCCGCGCUCCCUCUGUGAGCUGGCUCCAGGUUCUGGGUGUCAGAACUCUACCCCGUGCAGUCCGCAUGUCUCUACGAACGCAGACCAUACCACCAUCACCGCCGCCACCAGCGAUUGCCCUAGGGCCGGACGCGGCCAGGGCACGCCGCUCGGCGGUGUGCCGGUCGCCGCGCCGGUGUUCCUAACGCCGCGGCUGCCAGGCGAGGUCUGGUAACGAUGGUAAGGCGGUUGUGUGUGGGGGGGGGCUUGGCGCUGGGUAGCAGGUCGUCGAUCGCGCCGGCCCUGGGCUGCUGGCACGGUCGCUUCGGUGGCUGGCCUUUCGGUCGGCGGGCUGCGCGUGUGUGUGUGCAUGGGCGUGUCUGUGUGUGUGCGCGUGUGUGUGGGUGUGUGAUUGUGCGUGUACGUGUGCGUGUACGGGCGUGUUUACUGCGUGCGCGUGCGUGCGUGUGCCCAUGCCUGUGUGGGCGCUUCUGGGCCUGCCUGGCUGUGUGGCUGCUGUGUCAUUUUUAACGCGUGUGCCUCUGUGCCCCCGGGGAGCUCUUGGUGAGCCCGGACUCCUGUAACCAUGCGCACCACCUAGCGACCAGGCAGCUGCUACAGACCGUGCCAGUUUCACUCGCCAGCUGUGCCCGCUGUCCCCGCCUCUCCUAACAGCUAACCGCCUCCUGUGCCUCACAUUUCAUAUCUGCCUACAGUGUUUACACUCCAGCGCCAGCUCCAGCUCCAGCGUGCGCCAGCUCCAGCUUUCAUACAGUCUACACCACUUCGCAACCAACAAGUGCCGAAUUGGAUGGAGGCCAAUCCUCCCAUAUCCACACGCAGGCACGUCUGCGUGCCUAGAUAACCCUCAGCCACAGCCCACAACCACAUACACAAACCACGCUUACAUCGAAUACUCCUCCAAGGACCCGCGUAGCAUGCCAGGCUUGCCUGUCGUCCCCUGCAUCUGUCUCGCUGCUGCCAGCCGCUGCCUGCCAUGCCGUUGCCUAUGCCGCAGCAGUGCUCAAGAUGCCCUGCGCAUGCCGUUGGCCACAACAGCACCACAUUGCUAAGCUGCAACUGCCACAGCAGCCUGCACAGACCACUGACCACCGCACUCCCAGCUGAGCUGCUGUCGUCAGAGUUACUGCUGCUGCCAGUGCUGUAGCCAACGCUGCAGUGCACGCACCCCACAGCCGCCUAGACACCUCCCCUGACUAAAGCAACCAGCUGCUCCGCCCACAGCUGCUGCUGCUGCUGCUGUCGCCACUGCUGCAGGCACCAUCCCCACCCCCAUAUUGCCGCUGGAGCUGCAGGUCCACAAGCAGCCAUCACUGCCCCUGCCGCUGCCAUCACCUGAUUCUGCAAGCCACACAGACAAUCAACGAAUCUCCGUCAGCUGUGCAUGGUGAAUGAAAAUGAGCCCAGAGCGUACGCAGUCAACAGGAGCCCCCCAGGCUUGACACCCCGCUGCCCCUCUUAGGGUUCCGAGUGUCCACCUGCACCAACUCUUCCAUUCUCGCAUUCCACAAUCUACAUCCAUUGACGCUUGGUAGCUAGAUUGGCUGGAAAUGCGCACCUGGCUCUGUUGUGCACCUAGCGCUCAGGCGCUGUCGUCCUCCACGCCGCUCGUCUUGUAGCCGCUGCAGACAGAAGGUACAACGGCGCAACGUUUUAAGCGCAAAUAUACGGGUUGAGGGAGGCAGAUGCUGGAAGGUGGCAUUCAGCGGCAGAAACCUGCGUGCACACUUACGGGGUCGGCGCCGUACUUGCCGUCCUGUCCACCCUGCACCUGUCCGAAUGUGACUGGCUCAUCAUAACCCAGUGCCUUACAAGCGCCCCGCGCCCCUCAGGCGCACGCACUCGGCCCCCGCAACUCAGGCCCCCACGCCCCGCACCCCGAAAGUUCCGGGGCAGGAAAGUUUCGUGGGGGCAGGGCAGGGCUGCGUGCACGCUUACCUAAACACGAAUACUGCGUGCACGCUUACCGCUCGCGGACACCCUGCCAGUCAGCGUGGUAGGAGAUAUCGAGCACGCGCUGCAGCAUCUCACGACGCACGCGCGCUCCUCAUCCGCCUUGCGUUCCAGCUUCUGCUCCUGUUCCAGCAAGUGCUCGCGGUUCAAAGACCCUCGAAAUACAAGCCUCACAAAGCGGAAACGGCUUUCAUAUGUCUCAUUCAGCGCUAGACAGAGGUCAAACGUGAAUGGCCUCGUAAAGAAUCUGGAGAAGCGAGAGCACAACAGCGCCUUGAAUUUGUUUGUUUGCGUCCACCUGAGGCUUCCCUCAAGACUGCCUAAGCUUGACAGUAUCUAGUAGCAAUACAUUUCGAUUGAAAGUAUUGCCCUCAACUAGCAUGACCAGGCGCCAAUAAUAGGGCGGAUGGGGCCGCGAGUCGAUCAAUCAAUCGAUCACGCUGAACGUGGGCCGCUUAUGGAGUCCAAGUCCAGCCGAAUUGUCGGUUCCCUAAGCCUUGGCAUCGACUUGGUGAAAUGCGCACCGACAUUUUACAGCUCUGUCACGUCUCCAGCGGCCCAUCCAUAAGGGAGAACGCACGCAUUCAGUGUUUUAUACACAUUGGACUAAUACGUGUAGGCCGGGCCCCCGUAAUUCACCACGCGCCCUGAACAUGCAACACAUACCUGCGCCAGCGCGAAGAAGAGCAGUCUAACAUUUGGGCACACGAAACACGGCCGCUGCAGCCUACCCGUGCCUACCAGCCUCUUUGGACUGAAGAGAGCGCCGAAACCUGACCGACAGCCAACCCACGGCCAACCAUGGUCCACACUGCCAGUCCGUGCUUGUCCACACAUAGCGGACCGCCAUGCGAUCCAUGGAGCGUGCCCCUAAGGGAGUCAAGUGACAGGGGACGCAAUGUACAGUGUUAAAAUGCCGAGCACGAGAGGAGGCUGGUGUAGAAGUGGCGACUGAAGUCUGAGUAUGAUCUGAGUGCCAGAGUCGUAACAAACAUUGGACCAAAGGUACUGCGGAUGCUGGCGUGCGCACAACCUCCCGGACCGGUGACCGGGUCGGGGUCGGGGUCGGGGUCGGGGUCGGGGUCGGGGUCGGGGUCGGGGUCGGGGUCGGGGUCGGGGUCGGGGUCGUGGACAUCGGGGCAUUGGAGUCUGGGGAAAUGGGAUCCAAGGGACGCAAAAUCGCUCGUUUCCGCCCGCGCAGCUUCUAAAUACUUACGUAUUUAUGUAAUAUUAUAGCUGGGCCAACGCCCUGUCAAAUUGCGAGGGCGCGCGCGGACUUCCCCCCGCGUGCCCGCACCUCGGCCCCGCACCCUCGCCAUCACCCCCCAGCACCAAAACCCGUCAUACCGUCCCCCACCGCGAGAUACAGACUCCACUAUAUAAUAUAAGUAAAAUGUGAUCUGGGUGCCGGUGCUGGGGGGUCGGGGCUGUCCGCCUGGACGUCGGACGGUUGGACGGCGCGAAACUGCGCGAAGUAAGUUCAAGUUCGCCCUUGCGGCGAAACCGUUCAGCCUUACACGUUUUGCAAAUAUAAGAAUAACAUAGUCGCAGCUUCAUAGGUCUCACGUUGUGGGGCAGCCAGCACGGCAGUAUUAAGGACAGGUGCUCGUGCUCGCAGCUUACGCGCCUACGGGCAUCCUGACAGGUACAUAAGUGCUGAGAUUGAAGCAAUCUACGUAUCUGAUAGUUACCUUGGACCAGCACCAGCCUGUGCGAUGAAAUCGGCCAAAGAAUUGUCUUUCUUGAGGCAUCGGACACCAUUCUAUGCAUUAGAGUGCGCGAAAUAUGGUUUAGCCUCAGUUACUUUCGCGAUCGAGGUUCCCUGACUCGAGUCGGGUAUCGGAACUUUGUCGCUGGGGCCUCUUUUACCUUGUGUACAAUAGCUUCGUGUAAUGGAUGGCUUAAAUAAUGGCUGUGUGCAGUCGGCGGGAGCGGGGAACACGUGUUGCCCAAGUUUUCGUCAACUGCCGCUUUCUGAAACGUAUAGGUGCGCCGCGCCCCCUGCGGGGGCCGGGGCACGCUAACCUUGACAUUACUUCGGCCGUGUGCAUGUAGCCUGUCGCCGCACAUGCACACGGCAUUCACUUGUGCGACCGCCGCUGGACCGCUGCCCUCAAGUGCUCUGGUGCCCGCCGUACAGGCGCUGGCUUCACGCACAGCAGCCCAUAGGCACGCACAACCCAUGCGCAGCCCUGGUGUGGUGUCCCAACUCACCUUGGCCAACCUGCGCUGGCAUUCCCUGGGCGUGUAUGGCCAGCGCGCUGAGUCCGGUCGGCAUAAAGUGAAGCGCGGCGACCAGCUCGCGAGCAAAUGCAGCCGUGCCUGCAUGUCGUGUCAGUGAAAAGAACAUUCAGGAAACACUUUCAUGAUAAUUGACUGUUUUCCAAGCUGUUGGCCGCGUGCGUGCGUUUACACGCCGCCGCCGCCGCUGCCACCUACCGGUCGCCCACCUGCUGCUGGCGGCGCUGCUGGUGGCGCUGCUGGCGGCGCUGCUGGUGGCGCUGCUGGUGGCGCUGCUGGCGGGGGGGCUGGCGAGCAGCAGCGGCCGGGACACUUGAAGCCACCAGUAGGCAGUAGCGCCGCCUGGCAGCCUUCCCAUGCAUCUGCGGCCAGCGGCCCUGCAGGCCGUGAUAGCGGCAAUUCAGGAGGGUCGGAGGUGUUCGUGCAUGGGAUGACAAAACUUGCGGGGUGAGGGGGGGGCAGGAGCAAUCAAAAUUGGACCAAGGUUGAUGAGUGGGGAAUGACAACAAGUUGCGGGGUUAGGGCGGUGCAAGGGGCAAUCAAAUGUGGACGAAGGUUGUGUGGGGAUGACGAAAGUUGCGGGGUGAGGGGGGGGGGCAGGAGCAAUCAAAAUUGGACCAAGGUUGAUGAGUGGGGAAUGACAACAAGUUGCGGGGUUAGGGCGGUGCAAGGGGCAAUCAAAUGUGGACGAAGGUUGUGUGGGGAUGACGAAAGUUGCGGGGUGAGGGGGGGGCAGGAGCAAUCAAAAUUGGACCAAGGUUGAUGAGUGGGGAUGACAACAAGUUGCGGGGUUAGGGCGGUGCAAGGGGCAAUCAAUGUGGACGAAGGUUGUGUGGGGAUGACGCCCGUCUCUGUCUCCUUCACUCCCUGCUACUGUUCGGUUAGUGGCACUAACCGAACAGGCUCAGGCCCAACUACCGAACCGGACCCUGCUCUAGCUCGCUCCCAGCUCGCCCCACUAUCAGCCGCUGUACCCGAUCGCUGCCAGACACUACACAUAUGCAACCCGGCGCAGAGGCUCUUCACUGGCGUACGCUAUGCGGGUUGGGGUACUCUUGACCCUAGUGUGGGCAGGGGCCUUGGCUAUCACUGGCGGGCUGCGGGUAACGGCUCAGGACUUACGGGGAUAGGUCGGGGGCAACAGGCACAGCGGUGUGGGGUAGGGGAGAGAUAGGGAGAGGGGAGAGCCUGGGGCUCGGGGAACCGGAAUAGGUGAGAG
rnacentral:lncRNA from 1 species